rnacentral:rRNA from 1 species
CCUACGGGUGGCAGCAGUGAGGAAUAUUGGUCAAUGGGCUUACGCCUGAACCAGCCAAGUCGCGUGAGGGAAGACUGCCCUAUGGGUUGUAACCCUCUUUUGUCAGGGAGCAACGCCGGCUACGUGUAGCCGGACUGAGAGUACCUGACGAAAAAGCAUCGGCUAACUACGUGCCAGCAACCGAGGUAAUACGGAGGAUGCGAGCGUUCUCCGUAUUUAUUGGGUUUAAGGGGUGCGUAGGCGGAAUGCCAAGUCAGCGGUAAAACCGCGGGGCGCAACCUCACUCCGCCGGUGAAACUGGCGGUCUUGAGUGGGCGAGAGGUAUGCGGAAUGCGUGGUGUAGCGGUGAAAUGCAUAGAGAUCACGCAGAACUCCGAUUGCGAAGGCAGCAUACCGGCGCCAAACUGACGCUGAAGCACGAAAGCGUGGGUAUCGAACAGGAUUAGAUACCCCUGUAGUC